UGAAGACGUGAAAAGAUUCUGAACCACAACCGAAAGUAAGAGAAGUGGAAAUGAUUUUGAAAGGAGCAGCAGCAGCAAAAGAUGUUGAAAACUCACACCAGAAUCAUAGAAAGCUGUGCAGAUGAGCAAGAAAAUGAAGCCCAUUAUAAGUGAAAAGUGAAAACUACAGGGUUUUCAAGGUGAUGUUGUAGAGAAAAGGACACACCCCACCAAGUGGUCGGAAAAGGAAAUGCAAGGAGAACCUAGUGUUUCAACUGAGCAUACCAUGCUUAUUUGCAGAGUUAUAAUGUUUUGCGGGUUAUAAUGUUUCAUUGCACCUGCUGGAUAAGGUAAAGAGGAAGACAGUCUAUUUGUGUCUUUAUGUUGGCAUACAUAUACUGUUAGAGUACAGCAGGAUUCACCGUAACCUCUGGAAUAUAUGGGUUGGAUUACU